GCUAACAAACAGACGUUUGGUGGUCGUUGAAAACUGAAACGAAGAACAAAAAAAGAAAAGCGGAGUAAAAACAAAAUUUACCACGACUGUUGAGAUCGACCUUAUAGCUAUUCACAAACCCGAUCUUUCAAUUUUUGUUUGCAGCUCGCAGAGAAUCUGUUCACUGAUGUUGAUGCAGAACACAAGAGCCGUUCAUCAAAUGAUUCGGAGUGCGCAUGGAGAAGACAGAGCCGUUCUAGUCUCGAUUCUCGAAGGGUCCCUCCGAACAAAAAGAAUUAGAAGAACAGGCGAAGACCAAUUCUUAAUAGUUCCUGAGGUUCCUUCUAGGUUGAGAUGGGUGUCCCUCCGUUUCAGGUUAUUCUUCACUUGCGAAACCCUAGCUCCCAAUUCAAUACCGAAUCUGGAGAUCUUCUUAGCAUUCAAUCCACGGAGCUCAAAUUCCCCUGAGAUUGGUCAUUAAAAGUGACCCCUACUUUGCAACGCAGCUUCUAUUUAAUGCAUUUGGAACAAUGGCAAUGGCUAGACACGUGAGAAUAUUUCUACAUUUCUAAGUGUCCUGCUAUUUGUUGCUGCACAGAGUAGUUACAUGAAGCCCUUUGUUACAAAUUUUUUGUACCUAAGUUCAGUUUUUGCUUCGUAAAGCAUGUAGCUAUUGUGCUUCAUUGUACAUAACAAAUUUUCUAAAUUUGUAAUGUGCCCAAGCAAAUCAGUGUGCUCCUUCAAUAGAUUUGAGAUGCAUGGAAGUCUAUAGAAUUGUAUGAUGUUCAAGAGAGCUUAGGCACAUGUGGAGGCAUUUCACCUUGACCAGGGUGUAGAAAACUUACUGUAAACAAAUCAAAGAUUGUGCCAUGUCUAAUUGCUUUCAGCAUUUAGUAUUUUUCAUA